AGACUCGUGGUGUAAUGGUUAGCACAUCAGGUUUUGAUCCUGAGAGAUAAGGUUCGAUCCCUUCCGGGUCUA
rnacentral:tRNA from 1 species